AUUUAAGUAGCUUAUUAGAGCAUGAUAUUGAAGAUAUCAAGGAAAUAUUUUUUAUUUUUAAAUA
rnacentral:tRNA from 1 species